rnacentral:misc_RNA from 1 species
GAUGAAGAACGCAGCGAAAUGCGAUAAGUAAUGUGAAUUGCAGAAUUCAGUGAAUCAUCGAAUCUUUGAACGCACAUUGCGCCCCCUGGUAUUCCGGGGGGCAUGCCUGUUCGAGCGUCGUUUCACCACUCAAGCCUCGCUUGGUAUUGGGCGACGCGGUCCGCCGCGCGCCUCAAAUCGACCGGCUGGGUCUUUCGUCCCCUCAGCGUUGUGGAAACUAUUCGCUAAAGGGUGCCGCGGGAGGCCACGCCGUAAAACAACCCCAUUUCUAAGGUUGACCUCGGAUCAGGUAGGGAUACCCGCUGAACUUAAGCAUAUCAAUAAGCGGAGGA